rnacentral:misc_RNA from 1 species
AAGUCGUAACAAGGUUUCCGUAGGUGAACCUGCGGAAGGAUCAUUAACGAGUUUUGAAAUGGGUUGUAAGCUGGCCUUCAAAAACCGAAGGCAUGUGCACACCCUGCUCAUCCACUCUUCAACCUCUGUGCACUUAUUGUAGGAAGGUCGAAAAGUUGAGCUUCGCUGUUUAAUCGCGGCUUGAGGUUCCUUCGAAGCCUUCUUAUGUUUUAUUUUACAAACACUUCAGUUAUAGAAUGUCAAUUUGCGAAUAACGCAAUACAAUACAACUUUCAGCAACGGAUCUCUUGGCUCUC